AACGAACGCUGGCGGCAGGCUUAACACAUGCAAGUCGAGCGCCCCGCAAGGGGAGCGGCAGACGGGUGAGUAACGCGUGGGAAUCUACCCAUCCCUACGGAACAACUCCGGGAAACUGGAGCUAAUACCGUAUACGUCCUUCGGGAGAAAGAUUUAUCGGGGAUGGAUGAGCCCGCGUUGGAUUAGCUAGUUGGUGGGGUAAUGGCCUACCAAGGCGACGAUCCAUAGCUGGUCUGAGAGGAUGAUCAGCCACACUGGGACUGAGACACGGCCCAGACUCCUACGGGAGGCAGCAGUGGGGAAUAUUGGACAAUGGGCGCAAGCCUGAUCCAGCCAUGCCGCGUGAGUGAUGACGGCCCUAGGGUCGUAAAGCUCUUUCGCAGGUGAAGAUAAUGACGGUAACCUGAGAAGAAGCCCCGGCUAACUUCGUGCCAGCAGCCGCCGUAACAC
rnacentral:rRNA from 1 species